AUACGGAGGGUCCAAGCGUUAUCCGGAAUCAUUGGGUUUAAAGGGUCCGUAGGCGGGCAAUUAAGUCAGAGGUGAAAUCCCACAGCUCAACUGUGGAACUGCCUUUGAUACUGGUUGUCUUGAAUUAUAGUGAAGUAGAUAGAAUGUGUAGUGUAGCGGUGAAAUGCAUAGAUAGUACACAGAAUACCGAUUGCGAAGGCAGUCUACUAACUAUAUAUUGACGCUGAUGGACGAAAGCGUGGGGAGCGAACAGGAUUAGAUACCCUAGUAGUCC
rnacentral:rRNA from 1 species